CCCUUGCAGUCGGAGCUGUGGACAUCUUGUUUACAUCAGUAACGCUAUAUUACGGAACGUGACGUUUCUACGCUAUAACGUUAGACGAAACGAAUUCAAUGUAUCGAUAAAGAUUUUCAACGUUUAAACUCGUAACACGAUACCGAAUGGCAUAUCUCCCGAUUUCUAAACUUUUUGGCACACUUGUAUUUUGAAUCUAGUUACAUCAGUAUAAGUCAUUGUAUGCAUAAAAACUUUGGUCACCAUUUUUGGUCUUGUAAUUUUAUAGGAAAACGUCAAUUUUUGCGACAAAUUCACAUAUUGCUUUUUAUCCAUCAACAGAAUUUAAAAGGUUGGUUAAUCCGAAUCCAGUUCCAAAUAUCCA
rnacentral:lncRNA from 1 species